GUAUGGAGGGUUGGGGGUUUGGGAGUGGGGAUUGGUUGGAUUGUUUUUCUUUUUUUUAGUCAAAUAUUUCAUUUACAAUAAAUAUGCAUAUAGUCCCAUUCCUCCAAAACAAAAAGAAAAGGAAAGAAACUGUUGUGGUGGUUUUUCAGGGCAACUGUGCUUUCCAUUUACUCUAAAUUAAGUGCUUUUUCCAGUGUUAUACCCUGUACUUCUCUCUUUGCACUCAGAGAUCUGGUUCUUUAGAAAUGCUCUUAGCAACCUGUCCCCAGAUUAAUGUCUCCAACUUCUGUGUUUUCAGUCAGUAUGCCUAUGUCUUUAACAAACUUCUCUGUGUUCUGGGUUUUGAUCUCUGUCAUUACAGAAAAAGAUUUUGUAAUUUCAUUUCUCCUGAAUGAAAGCUGUGACCAACAUAUACAUUCUCAGAAGAAUCAGCCAUUACUACCAACAACCACCAUCUGGAGAAAAUAAGAAAUAACUGAAGCCUAUGAUGGACAAGAAUGAGACCAGAAAGGAAAUAAAAAGCUGAAGAUGCAAGAAGGAGACCACAGGAAAUAGAACUUUGUAAUGCAACUUUCUGAGCAUCAAGACAAUUUCAGAAUAAGCAAUGUAGCCACUGAGCCAUAGUAGAGGACAUCAGAGCAGAAAAUGGCUGGUGUAGCUCCUCAGUGUGGAGUUAGCAGGUCCAGAGAAGACAACUGCAGCAGCUGGCAGGAGGCAGAGGGCCAGCUGAGACAGCAUUCCAGAUGACAAAAUGUCUCAUUAUGGUUCUGUACAGACAUGCUUAGUUGAACCGAUAGUCUGUACCAAAACAGAUAAGUUUCUGUUUGCUUUAAAUCUUAUUAUUGAUCUAGGACUCCAGAUUCCCCCUUACUGUUUUAUUGAGACUAUCUUUCAACAUUGUAAUUUCUAAAUCUAGCUACUAAAUAAAGUGAUACAAUAAGAAUAAUUUUGAACAAUAGAACAAUGGAUAUGUAUUAUUUCCACACAAUAUCUCAGAAAUUAAUCCUGGUUUUCAAUUAAAUAUCUACUAAAAUUUUCUUAGAACACUAUGUAAGAGCAGCUAAUAAGAAAAGCAGUGUAAUCUGUAAAUAUGCAUGUUCCAGACAACCAAAUAUGACAUAAUGUUUACAGGUUUAGGCAUUGCCUUUAUUAAAAAAUUAAAAAUAAAAACCUUUCAAAAA